rnacentral:rRNA from 1 species
GAUGAACGCUAGCGGGAGGCCUAACACAUGCAAGCCGAGCGGUAUUUCUUCUUCGGGAGAGAGAGAGCGGCGUACGGGUGCGGAACACGUGUGCAACCUGCCUUUAUCUGGAGGAUAGCCUUUCGAAAGGAAGAUUAAUACUCCAUAAUAUAUUAAUUGGCAUCAAUUGAUAUUGAAAACUCCGGUGGAUAGAGAUGGGCACGCGCAAGAUUAGCUAGUUGGUGAGGUAACGGCUCACCAAGGCAAUGAUCUUUAGGGGGCCUGAGAGGGUGAUCCCCCACACUGGUACUGAGACACGGACCAGACUCCUACGGGAGGCAGCAGUGAGGAAUAUUGGUCAAUGGGUGCAAGCCUGAACCAGCCAUCCCGCGUGAAGGAUUAAGGUCCUAUGGAUUGUAAACUUCUUUUGUAUAGGGAUAAACCUACCCUCGUGAGGGUAGCUGAAGGUACUAUACGAAUAAGCACCGGCUAACUCCGUGCCAGCCGCCGCAGUAAGAC